ACCAGUAUUCAAACUCAGAAUGUUGGAUGAAGAGUCUGUCCAUGCAUGCAAACACAUGCUGCAGUGGGAACCACAGGUGUGCCGAGCUCCUGGCUUCCAGACAGCAACUUUCUUCUGUUACAGCGUUCUAGCUGCUGAAACAUCCUUUUGUUGCAGGGCCGAGAUUUUAUAUCUUGUUCUUCGUUUGCCUCUGUGGCCACAGAAGAUUACAGGACAGAUUCACAUACUGAAGAAGUGAUUGAAUGUAUGUGACAACAGUAAAGACUG